GACGAACGCUGGCGGCGUGCUUAACACAUGCAAGUCGAACGGAAAGGCCCUGCUUGCAGGGUACUCGAGUGGCGAACGGGUGAGUAACACGUGGGUGAUCUGCCCUGCACUUCGGGAUAAGCCUGGGAAACUGGGUCUAAUACCGGAUAGAAGCCAUUUUUAGUGUGAUGGUUGGAAAGUUUUUUCGGUGUAGGAUGAGCUCGCGGCCUAUCAGCUUGUUGGUGGGGUAAUGGCCUACCAAGGCGGCGACGGGUAGCCGGCCUGAGAGGGUGGACGGCCACAUUGGGACUGAGAUACGGCCCAGACUCCUACGGGAGGCAGCAGUGGGGAAUAUUGCACAAUGGGCGCAAGCCUGAUGCAGCGACGCCGCGUGGGGGAUGACGGCCUUCGGGUUGUAAACUCCGUUCGCUAGGGACGAAGCUUUUUGUGACGGUACCUAGAGAAGAAGCACCGGCUAACUACGUG
rnacentral:rRNA from 1 species